rnacentral:tRNA from 1 species
GGGCAGGUAGCUCAGUUGGUAGAGCAACAGACUGAAAAUCUGUGGGUCGGCAGUUCAAAUCUGCCCCUGCCCACC